UUCAAAUAAAUUAAAUUAUUAAUAGUUAAUAAAUCCUUUUAUCAGUGUAAUAAUUGCAGUUUUGUUUUUUAGUUAAACGAAUCAACAACAAGAAUAAUAGCCUCCCGUAACUCCGAAAGUAACCACUGCGAACGCUUCAGUCGAUUUCAUUUCCCCUACCAUGGCUUCACUCAGAGCGAAUAAAAAAAAUUCAACACUUGUAAGCCAUAAACUCUUCUGAAAAGUAUUGAAAUGAUGGAUCUCUGUUGAUUGCCUGUAAUCUGAUUAAUUUUUUAUAAUUUUACUUUGAAAUAAACAAAAUUACAAUAA